GUGCCAGCCGCCGCGGUAAGACGAACCGUCCUAACGUUGUUCGGAAUCACUGGGCUUAAAGGGCGCGUAGGCAGGUUCGCAAGUCCGGGGUGAAAUCUUUCGGCUUAACCGGAAAAGGGCCUUGGAUACUGCGAGUCUCGAGGGAGGUAGGGGCCUGUGGAACUUUGGGUGGAGCGGUGAAAUGCGUUGAUAUCCAAAGGAACGCCGGUGGCGAAAGCGACGGGCUGGACCUCUUCUGACGCUGAGGCGCGAAAGCCAGGGGAGCAAACGGGAUUAGAAACCCCUGUAGUCC
rnacentral:rRNA from 1 species